rnacentral:rRNA from 1 species
UGGGGAAUAUUGGACAAUGGGGGCAACCCUGAUCCAGCCAUGCCGCGUGAGUGAUGAAGGCCUUCGGGUUGUAAAGCUCUUUUGGCGGGGACGAUGAUGACGGUACCCGCAGAAUAAGCCCCGGCUAACUUCGUGCCAGCAGCCGCGGUAAGACGAAGGGGGCUAGCGUUGUUCGGAAUUACUGGGCGUAAAGCGAGUGUAGGCGGUUGCCGUAGUCAGGUGUGAAAGCCUUGAGCUCAACUCAAGAAAUGCACUUGAUACUGGGUGACUAGAGGACCGGAGAGGAUAGUGGAAUUCCCAGUGUAGUGGUGAAAUACGUAGAGAUUGGGAAGAACACCAGUGGCGAAGGCGGCUAUCUGGACGGUUACUGACGCUAAGACUCGAAAGCGUGGGGAGCAAACAGGAUUAGAUACCCUGGUAGUCCACGCCGUAAACGAUGGGUGCUAGACGUUGGCGAGCUUGCUCGUCAGUGUCGCAGCUAACGCGUUAAGCACCCCGCCUGGGGAGUACGGCCGCAAGGUUGAAANUCAAAUGAAUUGACGGGGUCAUAGCUG